CAAUGCGUCUGGGCAAAGCUCGUCUUACGGCGUGGCUCGUCUGGCGUUUGCUAUAUUUAGGUAAUGGCCCUCUUGCUUUACGGCUUGGGGAUCACCGUUCCUAAUCGUUUACUGUGAAAAAAUUAGAGUGUUCAAAGCAGGCGUAACCUUGCCAUUGAAUAUUACAGCAUGGGAUAAUAGAAUAUGACAUUCGGUCUUAUUUUGUUGGUUUCUAAGGCUGAUGUA
rnacentral:rRNA from 1 species